rnacentral:lncRNA from 1 species
GGUUUACUUAUGUAGUUUAAUAGAUCACUUCUAGUUUUGUCAAACAGUAGUCAUUUAACCACACACUCAUUGGGAUAUUUUAGUCACUAAAUUGCCCAGACUGGCCUUGAACUUGCAAUCCUCCUGCCUCAGCUGCAGAAUCACUGGGAUUCCAGACAUGCACCACCACACCCAGCUUUUUCACUGCACUCUUUUAAUAUCAUACCAUUGGUCCCUUUAACCAAAAUGACAUCUCUUCACACGAGUAAAUCUCAUAUUGUGGUUAGAAUAUCUUUUAAGUUCAAAGACCUUUAAGCUUAAAUUGCGAAAGGAGAAAUUCUAAUAUGUGAGCCGUAUGGCCUUGAAGAAUCAAUCAGUCAAGGCAGAUUUAUUCAUGUCAGAGGUUUAGGAGAGGCUUUCAAAGAAAGCAGCCAGUGAGAUAGCACUGACUUCUGAUUUAAAAGUGUGGAUAUGGAUGCUGCCAUUCAUGCAUUAUAUGUGCUCUUCAUUCUCUUGGAUCAUGACCUUUCAUUCUUUCAUGUGCCUGAGUGGAUGCAGCAUUUGAUGAGGUGGGAAAAAGGAGCUGUUGUCAAAUCUUCACUGCAUUUUUCACUUAAAAACUCCUAGGUUUCUGCCUCCUGCACUCCCCCCGGUGAACUUGUUUUCCAAGAUGCUGACUGCAUCAUUUUCCAUCGCUGUGGUGGCUUAUGCUAUUGCGGUAUCUGUAGGAAAAGUCUAUGCCAUUAAGCACGACUAUACCAUCGAUGGGAACCAGGUAUGCGAGCCCUCAUGCUGAGCUGCUUUUAUAGAGCAGAAAACAAGAAAGAAACAUAAACAAGAAUGACUUUGGUCUCUGCUACAGAAAGACUUGGAUUUUUCCAGCAGUCCUUAAUGAGUUGGUUUUUCUCUCGGGCUUCCUAAUUAGAAAUUAUUUUGAAAUAUGCAUGCUGAAUCAUUUUGCUUUUUAAAAAAACAUUUAUUCUUUAGUUUUAAGUAGACACAAUAUAUUUAUAUGGUUCUGAGGAUCAAACUCAGUGCCUCAAGCAUGCUAGGUGAGCACGCUACCACUGAGCCACAACCCCACUCCCAAAUCACUUUGCUUUUUAAGAAAUAGGUUGAAAUAAUCCUAAUCUUAAAAGAGCUAAUUCAAUCAGGACACAACGAACCCUCAAAGUUAUCAUGUUAGAUCAGAAUGAGAACUCUUUCUGGUCAUUUCUUUUUUAAUGGCAGCACAAUAUGACAAAACAAGGUAAAAAUACAAUUUUUUUUUUUUUUUUUUUUUUUUUUAUUUUUAUUUAUUUUUUAGUUUUCGGUGGACACAACAUCUUUGUUUGUAUGUGGUGCUGAGGAUCGAACCCGGGCCGCACGUGUGCCAGGCGAGUGCGCUACCAUUUGAGCCACAUCCCCAGCCCCAUAUUUAUUUAUUUUUUUUUUAGUUUUUGGCGGACACAACAUCUUUGCUUGUAUGUGGUGCUGAGGAUCGAACCCGGGCCGCACGCAUGCCAGGCGAGCGCGCUACCACUUGAGCCACAUCCCCGGCGGUAAAAAUACAAUUAAUAGCUAUGACCACUUUAUGUUGUGGUUAGUUCACAGUGCAAUUAAUAAAUACAGGACAAUUUUUGUAAGUAUAUGAUACGUUGUCAGGUGACUGCAGGUUUUGUGGUUGGAUGUUUCUGAAAGCAGAAUAGCAAUUACAGCUAAAUGACUAGUAAUCAAGCAGAAUGAUAGCUCUGCUAGUUAUAUUAUGUUUUAUAGCAAAUAUCCAAACACAGAAAAACUUAUAUUUAUGAGAGUUACAGAUGUGCUGCUCACCAGGCAGUGUAAAAGCAUCUUAGCAAAGGAUCACAAGUUACUAUUUCUUGUCAACCUUUAGUACAUUCAACAGCUGUGAAGUUUCUUUUAGAUUCUAUGGAGUCCAAACCCCAGAUGUUUUAUAAGAUCCUCAUAUACCUUUAAAGGUAAAAAUGAAAUUGGACCACCAGGCAGGAUUGAUUUAGCAGUUUCCUUUGAACAUGAGGUGAGGGUCUUACAAAGAGUCUAUUUGUAGUAUUACAUCAUCCAUUCUCUCCCUUAGGAAUUCAUUGCCUUUGGGAUCAGCAACAUCUUCUCAGGAUUCUUCUCUUGUUUUGUGGCCACCACUGCCUUGUCCCGGACAGCUGUCCAAGAGAGCACAGGGGGAAAGACACAGGUAUGGAAUGA